rnacentral:rRNA from 1 species
UACGGAGGAUGCAAGCGUUAUCCGGAAUGAUUGGGCGUAAAGCGUCCGCAGGUGGCUGUGUAAGUCUGCUGUCAAAGAGCAAAGCUCAACUUUGUAAAGGCAGUGGAAACUACACGGCUAGAGUGCGUUCGGGGCAGAGGGAAUUCCUGGUGUAGCGGUGAAAUGCGCAGAGAUCGGGAGGAACACCCGUAGCGAAGGCGGAUCUCUGGGCCUUACCUGACGCUGAGGCGCGAAAGCUAGGGGAGCGAACAGG